CCCGGACCGCUGCGUGGCGCGUACCGAGGCGGCGGCGCUUCCGGCGGGGAAGAGUGGGGCUCCGCCAGGGCGCGCGCGGGGCGGCAGUUGGGCGUCGCGGGGUGGCAGCGGUGACGCUUGUGGAGGGGUCGUUGCAGGGUGCUGCGUGGGUGCCAUUUCCACACUCCCACCCAAAGAGUGAUUUCUCCUGGCUGUGCUUGCGGGCAGACCAGCCCCGAACUCGCCGCGGGGACAAGCUGCCGGCACCUUUCCGUACAGCUGCCCGGCCAAAAGCUCUUCCCUCAGCGCUGGUCUGAAGCCUGUCGGGAUGUUUCCCAGGCUUUUCUGCCCUCAUAAUCCACUGCUGACCAGCCAGCAUGAGCCCUGGAGAGAACACUGGAAAUGAAGUGGCAUAAAGGACAGUUCCAAUACCACAGAACACUGUCCUGGCUUUCAAAGGCGUAGGAUGGCUGUGCAGACGGGAUGGCUUCCAACCCAAAGAAACCAAAUAAAAUAGCUGGAAGGAUAUUAAACUAGAAGUGCAAAGGAAGUAAUCGUUGUAUUAAAUCAAACUCAGCAGGCAACAAACAAAUCAAACCAGUGCAGCAAAGACAUUGUGAGAAUUAAUACAUAAUUGUUUAUACACUGAUUACAGGUGCUAGACUAAGAUAUAAGAGGAUCUAGAAAUUCUCAUUGAAGAGAGACUAUCAAUAGCACAAAUGAAACAAAAGGAAUAGUCUGUAUCAUUUGGAUACUAAAAUCUCCGCUUAUAAGGUGUUUAAGGAGGAUGAAGCUGAUGGUGUGGCACUACUCUCUACUAAAGCAGUGAUCAAUUGUUUAAAGUUACUGAUAAGAAUAAGAACUACAAAUCCUGAAUGCUUGUGAAGCUUGCUUCUGCUGACAGGACCUAGGAGAAGGCAAUGUUAAGGGCUUGCCUCGGGCUACCGAAUCAGAAAUACAGACCUGUACUUAAGAGUAGCUUGUUCAACCUGCAAUGUAGGUAGAAGGAAGGGAGUGGGUUUUGUGUUGUUAUGGAGGCUUGGAACACAUACUACAGCCAGUAGCAAAACUUACAACUUCUUAAAAUUACAGCCCUGACAAGGGAUCGUCACGCACGCCCGGCCCGCUCACAGGUACUGCGGGUUCAACUCAUGCGGCUCCUCGCAGUGAAAACAGGCUGUUUCGUCCACGCAGCGCGGAGCGGGGCGGCGGAGACGCCUGCAUCGAGCUCCGCGCCCAGAAAAGGGGAGAAGCAAACCUUCCCCGGCAGAGCGCACUCGGACGUGGUGCCGGACGACCAAAACCUGUUAAUCAAAGGAUUAUAUAAUCUAUCAAUAUUUUACCUGCCCGCUCGGCAGCGGCGGCCGCAGCCCCCCUCGCUGCGGCCCCGCGCACGGCACGCCCCGCCGGCCCGGCUCCCCCUCCCCGCCACAGCGGUCCGCGCUCCCGCCACCGGGCGGGACGCCAUGUCACCCCGCCUCGCACUGCCCCACGACGCCGCCCGGGCCGCGCCUGCCCUCGCCCCGCUGCGGGAGGCGCUCACGGGCGCUCGCAGCCCUUCUCACCUGCGCGCAACUGUGGCAGCAGUAAAAUGUACCCCGUGGUUCGGGCCCGGGCCCGGGAUAAGCGCGCCGCCACCCCCGCGUCGAGCUCCGGGGAGGCGGGGCUCGCCCUGGGCAGCCCCAGUGGGUUCCGCGCCCACGUCUCCGUUUCUAAUGCUUCAACGAUAAAAAUCCCGGGACGGGCGCUGCUGGCCCCGCCCGGCGACGCCAAAUGGAGGCGCCCCUUCCCGCCGCGAGGGAACGGCAGCCGAAGGCAGGGGUAGAAGGAGCCCCAAAGGCGCCGCCGCCUGUCCUAAGUACCCGUCUGCCCUCUCCUCAGUCCCCCCGACCUCUCCUCAAAUACAGUUAAAUGGGAUUUAAAACGGCUGCAGGUGACAGGAUUCAUUAUUCGUAUGAAUUACCUUGAGGGCCGUAUCGCUGGUCAUGAGCAACAAGGACCCGCUCUCUGCCCGAGAGAAGGAGGUCCUCUGGUGACAUGCCUCUGCUGUCCGGCCGUAUUUUAUGUUGAUGAAGAAAACUUCCAGACAGUGGCUUGGCUAUUGGAUUGAGAAUGUCCGAUGACUUUGAGAAGGAAAGAAUCGUAAUGAAAAGCUUAGAAGAACAAGGUGUCACAAUAAGGCUGCAAUUAAACAGAAGAAGGCUAAACUAAAUAGAGGAAACCUGAAACAUACCCUUAUGUUUUAAUAUUAUUCAGUAUACAGCUAAUGUUAUGGAUGUCGUAUUUGGCCAGAUAAGACCAAUAGGUACAGAUUUUUAAGUUCAGAAAAGGAUUAAUCUGGCCUGUUUAAGGUGAUAGAAUUUCAUCCAUCUGAUUUGAUACUGAACAAGAAUGGGAUAAUAAUGAUUUGCAAAGGAAGAAGAGAGGAAGUAGAACCUGAUUUCCCGAGUGCACACCAGAACUAUAUUUGAUUAGAGACACCUUUUUAAGAAUUAAAAGGUCUUUAAGAGUGAAUUUGGAGUUAUUUCUUCCAGGAUACAACUUGUUGAUUUAAGACUGAAAUGGGUCCUGAGGGAAGGUAGAAGGGUCUACCAGCUCUUGUUCACAGCGUGACACUGCUAUAGUGCUUUACGAAAGAUUGUUCCAAACUUGACAAUGCUCAGAGGAUUGAGCAAGCAGAGUCACUGAUGCUUUAGCCUAGCAAAAUUAAAUUUCAAACAGGA